rnacentral:lncRNA from 1 species
CCUGCCGGGAAGUCAGGACCUGGUAAACCCGAAGGGAAGCUGGGUCCGCGGGCAGGGGUUUGGCCCACUUGAGGAGGCCUUUCCUGCAGAGGAGAAGGCUCUGAACCAUUCUGUCUGGAGACAGUCAGGACUGGAUGUGGACACGUGAUUCGCCUGGUAGAGAGGAGGUCGUAGGAAUGGGAGGAGAUGGAGAGCAGACUCUGGAUGGAGAACAGGCUCUGUCCAGUGCCCAGGAAGGGCAGAAGUUGGCUCAUGAGAUUUUGGCAUCAGUCUUGGAUUCACCAGUUACCCAACAUUGGCCUGUAGUCAUCCAGCCUGAAAAUGUCAUUCCCUUUUCUUGCGUCCUGCAAAAGCGAGAUAGGGAGCCAGAAGUCCCAUCUUUCUGCUUAUGGGGGAGAGUUGUGGCAGUUCAGAGAAAAUGAGAACUGGUUUUAGAUGUUAUACACCUUAGUAUUUUAAAAAUAGAACUAGUGAAAAUUGAAUUGUCCUCUAAGUGACUGAAAUCCACUUCUUAGCAGAUCCUGCAGCACCCCCACCCUGCUGUGGCUUUGGGCACUGAUUAUCUUAUCUCCUGAGGCAGGAGUCAGCAAGUUACAGCCUGCAUGUUAAAUGGAGCUUACCACUUGUUUUUGUCUCUGAACUAAGAAUGGCCUUUUUACAUUUUUAAAUGGUUGAAGAAAACAUCAAAAAAGAAUUAUAGUAUUUUUGUUGCAUUUGAAAAUUAUGAAAUUUAUAUCAUAAUUGUCCAUAAAGUUUAUUGCAAUAUAGCCAUGCUCAUGUUUAUAGAUUGCCUUUAUGGUACAACAACAGAAUUGAAUAGUGGUGAUGGAACUGCCUGGACUGCAAAGCUGUAAAUAUUUACUAUCUGUGCUUUUAUAGAAAAUCUUUUCCCAUCGUCCCUACUCUAGAAUGAUCCACUGCCCUUUCUUAAAAGUUGCCAUGAAGAUUGGAUUCCAUGUUCCCAGCUAUUCCAUGCUUUAUAAUUCUGCAGAUGCCUUCCCCUAACUGAAAAAACUUAUACUGGGCAAGAUGUUCUUUCAUCAAGAAGGAAUCAUGAGGGCCAGUCUCUGAGACAACAGCUUCGGGCAGUGCGUGGGGUAUCUCCUGGGUCAAAUCUCUAAAUCUUCAGAAUCUUACCUACAUCCAAAGCAUGAAUCUACUCAUAGAACAUAAGGCAGACAUCAGUGGGCCCAUAGACUGGCUUCCACCCACAGCAUAGCGAGAGUUGUCUUCUUCACACAGUCUAUUUUUUUGUUGGUAUAGUCCUUUUCUCCAGAGGAGGCCUGGAAAGGGCUGUCCCUUUGGACCUGCCUGAUUAAUUUAGGCAGGGCUUCCCUACUUAGGAUGCUGUUUCGGGGCAGUAAGAGAAAACCUAGGCCUCUGGGUGAAAAUGGAGUUGUUCCAUCUCUUACUAGGGGCUUUCACUGGUGGUGGUGGUGGUGGGGGUACAGAUACCGAGAGAUAUAAGUGAGGAGAGGUGGACAGCUGCAUGCCAGGAACUUUGUAUAUGAACCUGGUCUAUCCCCAUAGCACCUCUUUGUCAGCUUAAGAAACCAAGAGUCAGAGCAGCAAUGUCAGUUUUAUAGUUCUAGAGGCAGAACCAAAGUCUGAGCUCCUGUUUCUCUGCUUCAGAGGUCUGCUCUUUCUACUGAUGGCAUAGAUUGGAUUUGGAAUUUGCAGAGGGUAAGUGAUUUACCAUUGUCUUAGGCCUUUCUUAUAGUCAAAUUUGAGGGAAAAAAAAAAAAACCUUACCGAGUCUCCUGAGAAUAUGUACUGUUUUGAGAAAGUGCAGAAAUAUUAGGAAGUUAGUCUGAGUGUGGUAAUACACAUCUGUAAUCUCAGCAUUUGGAAGGCAGAGGUAGGAGGACCUUGAGUUCAGCUACAUAUUGAGACCUUGUCACAAAACCAAACCAAAACCAAAGCCAAACAACAACAUUAGGAAGUUAAGUGUUUUUCAUUGAGUUGAUCAAGAUAAGAAGUGUAGUCUGAGUAGAAAUACCAAAAUGCAAUUUGAAGGAGUCACCCCAGGUGAGUGAAGUGGAGCUGAGAAAAUGCCUGGAGAGGGUUUGGGGAGGUUAGAAUAGCUAUAAUAGAAAAAUCGACCGUAACUACCUCAAGACAAUUUGCAUGGACUUGUUACUGUCUGUACUAAUGUUUGGUCAGGAAGUUCUGCCUACUCUUAACCAAGGAAUUAGCUACUUAAGAACCUGUGCAUACUCUAAUUGGAAAAUGCUUGGGAAAUCUUCCUGCACCUCAUUUUUAUUCAGUGAGAACAUAGUGAUAAUAAAUAGAACAGUUAUGCCUAAAUAGCUUACUGC